rnacentral:rRNA from 1 species
AUACGGAGGAUGCGAGCGUUAUCCGGAUUUAUUGGGUUUAAAGGGUGCGUAGGCGGACGAUUAAGUCAGCUGUGAAAUGCCCGCGCUUAACGCGGGAAGUGCAGUUGAUACUGGUUGUCUGGAGUGCCGUUGCCGUGGGGGGAAUGUGUAGUGUAGCGGUGAAAUGCAUAGAUAUUACACAGAACACCGAUUGCGAAGGCAUCUCACGAAGGGUUGAUUGACGCUGAGGCACGAAAGCGUGGGGAUCAAACAGGAUUAGAUACCCUGGUAGUCCACGCAGUAAACGAUGAUGGCUAACCGCUGGAUCUAUCGGUUCAGUGGCCAAGCGAAAGCGAUAAGCCAUCCACCUGGGGAGUACGACCGCAAGGUUGAAACUCAAAGGAAUUGACGGGG